CCUACGGGCGGCAGCAGUGGGGAAUAUUGCGCAAUGGGCGAAAGCCUGACGCAGCGACGCCGCGUGAGGGAUGAAGGUCUUCGGAUCGUAAACCUCUGUCAGCAGGGAAGAACGGUCACUGUGCUAACCAGCAGCGAAUUGACGGUACCUGCAAAGGAAGCAACGGCUAACUCCGUGCCAGCAGCCGCGGUAAUACGGAGGGUGCGAGCGUUAAGCGGAUUUACUGGGCGUAAAGCGCUCGUAGGCGGUAUGUCAAGUCAAGGGUGAAAUCCCCGCGCUCAACGUGGGAAGUGCAUUUGAAACGGGCGAACUGGAGGGUGGGAGAGGAUAGUGGAAUUCCAGGUGUAGGGGUGAAAUCCGUAGAUAUCUGGAGGAACAUCAGUGGCGAAGGCGACUAUCUGGCCUAUAACUGACGCUGAGGAGCGAAAGCGUGGGUAGCAAACAGGAUUAGAUACCCUUGUAGUC
rnacentral:rRNA from 1 species